CUGCCCGCUUACGGCCGGCCUCGCACGGGACUACGGAAGAGGGAGCGCCCAGCGCAAACUUCGCUUUCUUCUCCCUUUUGCCUAAGGCUGUUCUCACUGCGAGCAGAGACAGAGUGUGCAGAACUCUGGAAACCAGGUUGUCCAACAGACAACGCUGAGUCAUUGCCCUUCUGUGCCGCGUGCCUCCCGGCCUCACCAGAGCCCGGCCAGGGGUCGGUCCUGCGAUGUGGCUGCUGUUUUGUUUCGUGUCUCAGACCCACAGCUUGGACUUAGCCACACCGUACCGCAUAGGACUUCCGGGCAUCGCGCUGGCACCUCCCUUUCUGGGGCCAAAAGCCCGGGAAGGGAAAGGAAAUAAUAGGUCACUUAACCCCCAGUCACAUCCCCUCAGACCGCUUCAGCACGUACCAGCCGGCUCCCCACUGCCACACCUGCAUUGUCUUUUGUCUGGGAACAUUCUCUGGCUGCCAGAGAGAACAAUACUACUGGGGCAGCAAGAGUGUCUGGGAGGAGCUGGGGAAUUUCCAUCCCCUGGGAGCUGUUUCAACCAACAACCAAUGGCAGUUGGCGUAUCAAUACCUCAGCUCCCUCGUCCUUCAGGCAGGA